rnacentral:rRNA from 1 species
AUGACUAGAGCCUACGAGUGUAGGCACAAAUGGGCGAAACCAUAUUUUAGCAAAGUUUUCUGUGCCAAAAUGUGUAGCACUCAACGUAGUGAGUGUGCAAACUUUAUGCUGAAGAUACAUACUGUAUGCAAUUCUUCAAUAAAUGCAUUCAUUACACAGUACACUAAGCUUAUAGACGAUCGUGAGAGUUGUGAUGCAGAUGCUGAAAGGAAGAACAAACGGAAAAUAAUUAAGGUCCAUUUUGGAUAUCCAAUGGAGAAGCAUGCUUCAGUUAUCUAUACUGCGAAGGUUUAUAAUCUAUUCAAGAAGGAGCUCAUUAAGUCAACAUAA